rnacentral:rRNA from 1 species
AUUGGGGAAUCUUCCGCAAUGGGCGAAAGCCUGACGGAGCAAUACCGCGUGAGAGAAGAAGGCCUAUGGGUUGUAAACCUCUUUUCUCAAGGAAGAAGAACUGACGGUACUUGAGGAAUAAGCCACGGCUAAUUCCGUGCCAGCAGCCGCGGUAAUACGGGAGUGGCAAGCGUUAUCCGGAAUUACUGGGCGUAAAGCGUCUGUAGGUGGUUUAAUAAGUCAACUGUUAAAUCUUGAGGCUUAACUUCAAAACAGCAGUCGAAACUAUUAGACUAGAGUAUAGUAGAGGUAAAGGGAAUUUCCAGUGGAGCGGUGAAAUGCGUAGAUAUUGGAAAGAACACCGAUGGCGAAAGCACUUUACUGGGCUAUUACUAACACUCAGAGACGAAAGCUAGGGUAGCAAAUGGGAUUAGAUACCCCAGUAGUCAAU